CUACGGAGGAUGCGAGCGUUAUCCGGAUUUAUUGGGUUUAAAGGGUGCGUAGGCUGUGCGUUAAGUCAGGGGUGAAAUGCCGUCGCUCAACGACGGAGCUGCCCUUGAUACUGGCGUGCUGGAGUACGGAUGCCGUUGGAGGAAUGAGUGGUAUAGCGGUGAAAUGCUUAGAUAUCACUCAGAACACCGAUUGCGAAGGCAUCUGACGAAUCCGUCACUGACGCUGAGGCACGAAAGCGUGGGGAUAGAACAGGAUUAGAUACCCUGGUAUUCCACGCCGUAAACGAUGAUGACUAACCGUCGGCGAUAGACAGCCGGUGGCCAAGCGAAAGCGAUAAGUCAUCCACCUGGGGAGUACGUCGGCAACGAUGAAACUCAAAUGAAUUGACGGGG
rnacentral:rRNA from 1 species